rnacentral:tRNA from 1 species
GCGUCCUUAGCUCAUCUGGAUAGAGUACCUGGCUACUAACCAGGCGGUCGGAGGUUCGAAUCCUCCAGGACGCGCCA